AGUGAACGCUGGCGGUAGGCCUAACACAUGCAAGUCGAACGGCAGCACAGUAAGAGCUUGCUCUUACGGGUGGCGAGUGGCGGACGGGUGAGGAAUACAUCGGAAUCUACUUUUUCGUGGGGGAUAACGUAGGGAAACUUACGCUAAUACCGCAGACGACCUACGGGUGAAAGCAGGGGAUCUUCGUACCUGGCGCGAUUGAAUGAGCGGAUGUCUGAUUAGCUAGUUGGUGGGGGACAGACCCACCAAUGCGAAGAUCCGUAGCUGGUCUGAGAGGAUGAUCUGCCACACUAGAUCCUAGACUCGGUCCAGACUCCUACGGGGUGCGGCAGUGGUGAAUAUUGGGCAAUGGGCGCAUACCUUGUCCAGCCAUACCGCGUGGGUGAAGCAGGCCUUCGGGUUGUAAAGCCCUUUUGUUGGGAAAGAAAAGCUGCCGGUUAAUACCCCGCUGUUCUGACGGUACCCAAAGAAUAAGCACCGGCUAACUUCGUG
rnacentral:rRNA from 1 species